AAUAGAUACCCAGGUAGUCCACGCCGUAAACGAUGAGUGCUAAGUGUUAGGGGGGUUUCCGCCCCUUACGUGCUGCAGCUAACGCAUUAAGUCACUCCGCCUGGGGAGGUACGGUCGCAAGACUGAAACUCAAAGGAAUUGACGGGGGCCCGGCACAAGCGGUGGAGCAUGUGGUUUAAUUCGAAGCAACGCGAAGAACCUUACCAGGUCUUGACAUCCCGCUGACCGGCCUAGAGAUAGGCUUUUCCCUUCGGGGACAGCGGUGACAGGUGGUGCAUGGUUGUCGUCAGCUCGUGUCGUGAGAUGUUGGGUUAAGUCCCGCAACGAGCGCAACCCUUGAUCUUAGUUGCCAGCAUUCAGUUGGGCACUCUAAGGUGACUGCCGGUGAUAAACCGGAGGAAGGUGGGGAUGACGUCAAAUCAUCAUGCCCCUUAUGACCUGGGCUACACACGUGCUACAAUGGACGGUACAGAGGGUCGCAACCCCGNGAGGGUGAGUUAAUCCCAUAAAAACCGUUCUCAGUUCGGAUUGUAGGCUGCAACUCGCCUA
rnacentral:rRNA from 1 species